GUGAAUCAUCGAAUUUUUGAACGCAAAUUGCACUCUCUUCGGAGAGUAUGCGUGUUUGAGGGUCAGCCUAAAAAAAAUCGACAUCGUUGCUGUUUCGUUGUUGCGUUUGUUGGAAAUUGGGUUAUCUUAAAUCUUUGGUUUAAGCGGCUUAACAUCUUCUUUACGUUUCUAUGAACGUGUCCUAGAUUUAUUUCUUUACACGUUGAAGGUAUCGAUUUUAUUAGGCGUGGUCGUCAUAUCGGAUCAUGUCAAUAAUUUUUCGUUCACUGAUCA
rnacentral:misc_RNA from 1 species